rnacentral:lncRNA from 1 species
UGACUGCUGGGAACCAAGUCCCUAAAGUCAAGAUAGCCUACUCACAGUACUAGUCUCACACCACAACAACCCUGAUUAAAAUUCCUGAACCAUUCCUGGAGUAAAUCAACAUUGAGUUCCUUACCACGUAUGAGAGAGAAUUCAGAUGUGUCAGAUGUGUUAUUAUUUGGCCCCAAACACAGGGGGGAAGUGUGUGUGUGUGUGUGUGUGUGUGUGUAAGGUCAGGGAGCAGCAGGCAGAACAUGGAAACAGGCAGUGAAUACAUGUACAGUUUAUGGGCUGUGAAAUGUGAACAGCGUUUCAAUGAUUAUAGCCAGGCUACACCAGACAUUCCAUCGUGAAAAACUACUCCCCAGAAUAGCAAUGAUGCUCUAAAGUCUACCCACAGUAAAUGUUAGAUCCCCUUUACUGAAAGUGGUGUUUAUGUACCAGGAAACAUUGUUUUAUCUCCAUUAUCUCCGCAACCUUUAAAGGAUAAGAUAAUAUAAUUCAAAUGAAAACGUCUGUUGCAUUGACCCACGUAAAUGUAAUUGUUUUUUAUUUAUUUAUUUUAGCCGCUCCGGAUGUGCUCGCUCUCAGUAUUGUCAUUCAGUAUUGUCAUUCACUAAGUGUCAAUACAAUCAGAUUAAAGGGCUUAACACUGACAGAAUGGCACACAUCUCACUCUAGCGCUACCAAUCACAAACAGAUAUGAGUCAUCCUGGUCAAACGUCAGUUACGUUUCCAAAGCCACCCUAGUCCCUCUAUAGUGCCCUACUCUGGUCAACAGUAGUGCACUAUAAAUGGAAUGGGGUACCAUUUGGGACGCGCUCAUUGUUGAUACAAUGUCCUUAAGAGCAUAGUGUCUGUCCUUCAGUGGACCAAUUAGAGCAACAUGCCAACCUCAAUCAGCUACUGCCUCAGGUUAGAUGUCUAUCAGGAACAUGACCUUUCUCACCACUGCUAUCAGCGAAUGACAGCCCUGACCAGCUUGGCUCACUGUCCAUAGAAAUCUGAGUCAAAAUGGCACCCAAUUCCCUUUACAGGGCAAUACUUUAGUCAAAAGUAAUCCACUAUUAUUGGAAUCUGGUGUCAUGUGGGACGCACCCUAAAUCUUCCAUAGACUUUCCCCGUUAUUGUUGUUGGUCCUGACAGAGUAUUGACAUGUGUAUUGGUAUGGACAGUGUAUUGGUAUAGACAGUGUAUUGGUAUGGACAGUGUAUUGGUAUGGGCAGUGUAUUGGUGUGCACAGUGUAUUGGUGUGGACAGUGUAUUGGUGUGGACAGUGUAUUGGUAUAGACAGUGUAUUGGUAUAGACAUUGUAUUGGUAUGGACAGUGUAUUGGUAUGGACAGUGUAUUGGUAUAGACAGUGUAUUGGUAUGGACAUUGUAUUGGUGUGGACAGUGUAUUGGUGUGGACAGUGUAUUUGUAUGGACAGUGUAUUGGUAUGGACAACAUAUGGUGGUGAAUAGGCCUAAACAGUGUCGAGUAAGACUUUCUUCCUAUUUAUCCAAUUUGUUCACUGUAUAUCGACCUCCUGAAUCGUCAAGGAACGUACCCUGAUUUUAUAUAUUUGUUUAAUUUAUCCAGAGAAGGGAGGCAGAGAAUAAAAUCUUAUUUAUGACGCAUUGGCAUCUGAUGGUGGAGCUCAUAUCUGCCCUAUGGUUUAUCCACAUUAUUACCUCAGUGCGGUGCUGAGCAGGGCAGAUCUGAUAGACCCACUGUGUCGGUGCCUUAUCAGGCCUGCACAUCUUGAACAGGGAGGCGUGAGCUUCAGGUUUGCGUGCAAACGGAGGAGUCAAACAAAAGUGAAGGGGAAGAGGAGCACUGAUUGUUAUCCUGGCUGUAGCAGCCAUAAGGGCUGCCUCGCUGCCUCACUGCCUCCCUGCCUCCCUGCCUCACUGCUUCCCUGCCUUCCCGCCUCACUGUGUCCCUGAAUCACAAUAUGAGUCUGUCUCAAACGUCACCCUACUGCCUACAGUUGAAGUCGGAAGUUUACAUACACCUUAGCCAAAUACAAUUAAACUCAGUUUUUCACAAUUCCUGACAUUUAAUCCUAGUAAAAAUUCCCUGUCUUAGGUCAGUUAGGAUCAGCACUUUAUUUUAAGAAUGUGAAAUGUCAGAAUAAUAGUAGAGAGAAUGAUUUAUUUCAGCUUUUAUUUCUUUCAUCACAUUCCCAGUGGGUCUGAAGUUUACAUACACUUUAUCUUGGGUCAAACGUUUUGGGUAGCCUUCCACAAGCUUCCCACAAUAAGUUGGGUGAAUUUUGGCCUAUUCCUCCUGACAUAGCUGGUGAACUGAGUCAGGUUUGUAGGCCUCUUUGCUCGCACAUGCUUUUUCAGUUCUGCCCACAAAUGUUUUAUAGGAUUGAGGUCAGGGCUUUCUGAUGGCCACUCCAAUACCUUGACUUGUUGUCUUAAGCCAUUUUGCCACAGCUUUGGAAGUAUGCUUGGGGUCAUUGUCUAUUUGGAAGACCCAUUUGCGACCAAGCUUUAACUUCCUGACUGAUGUCUUGAGACGUUGCUUCAAUAAAUCCACAUAAUUUUCCUUCCUCAUGAAGCCAUCUAUUUUGUGAAGUGCACUAGUUCCUCCUGCAGCAAAGCACCCCCACAACAUGAUGCUGCCACCCCCGUGCUUCACGGUUGGGAUGGUGUUCUUCGGCUUGCAAGCCUCCCCCUUUUUCCUCCAAACAUAAUGAUGUUCAUUAUGACCAAACAGUUCUAUAUUUGUUUCAUCAGACCAGAGCACAUUUCUCCAAAAAGUACGAUCUUUGUCCACAUGUGCAGUUGUAAACCGUAGUCUGGCUUUUUUAUGGAGGUUUGGAGCAGUGGCUUCUUCCUUGCGAGCGAACUUUCAGGUUAUUUCUAUAUAGGACUUGUUUUACUGUGGAUAUAGAUACUUUUGUACCUGUUUCCUCCAGCAUCUUCACAAGGUCCUUUGCUGUUGUUCUGGGAUUGAUUUGAACUUUUUGCACCAAAGUACGUUCAUCUCUAGGAGACAGAACACGUCUCCUUCCUAAGCGGUAUGACGGCUGCGUGGUCCCAUGGUGUUUAUACUUGCGUACUAUUGUUUGUACAGAUGAACAUGGUACCUUCAGGCGUUUGGAAAUUGCUCCCAAGGAUGAACCAGACUUGUGGUCUACAAUUUCUUGGCUGAUUUCUUUUGAUUUUCCCAUUUUCCCACUGAGUUUGAAGGUAGGCCUUGAAAUACAUCCACAGGUACACCUCCAAUUGACUCAAAUUAUGUCAAUUAGCCUAUCAGAAGCUUCUAAAGUCAAUUUAGUGUAUGUUAACUUCUGACCCACUGGAAUAGUGAUACAGUGAAUUAUAAGUGAAAUAAUCUGUCUGUAAACAAUUGUUUGAAAAAUUACUUGUGUCAUGCACAAGGUAGAUGUCCUAAAUUACUUGCCAAAACUAUAGUUUGUUAACAAGAAAUUUGUGGGGUGGUUGAAAACGAGACUCCAACCUAAGUGUAUGUAAACUUCCGACUUCAACUGUAUAUAGUGCACUACUGUUGACCAGGGUCCAUAGGACCAGUGCCCAUAUAACCAGGGCCAGGGCACAUAGGACCAGGACCCAUAGGACCAGGGCCCAUAGGACCAGGACCCAUAAGAUCAGGGCCCAUAGGACCAGGACCCAUAGGACCAGGGCCAGGGCACAUAGGACCAGGACCCAUACUAUCAGUGCCCAUAGGACCAGGACCCAUGGUACCAGGACCAAUCGUACCAGGGCCCAUAGGACCAGGACCCAUAGAACCAGGACCCAUAGAACCAGGACCAGGGCCCAUAGGACCAGGACCCAUAGUAUCAGGGCCCAUAGGACCAGGCCCCAUAGGACCAGGGCACAUAGGACCCAUAUGAUCAGGACCCAUAGAACCAGGGCCCAUAGGACUCUGGUCAAAAGUAGUGCACUAUACAGCACAUUCGGAAAGUAUUCAGACUCCUUCCCUUUUUCCAUGUUGUUACGUUACAGCCUUAUUCUCAAAUUAUUAUUUUUUUAUCCCUCCUCAAUCUACACACAAUACCCCAUAAUGACAAAGCGAAAACAGGUUUUAAGACAUUUUUGCAAAUCUAUUCAAAAUAAAAAACAGAAAUACUUUAUUUAGAUAAGUUUUCAGACCCUUUGCUAUAAGACUCAAAAUUGAGAUCAGAUGCAUCCUGUUUCCAUUGAUCAUCCUUGAGAUGUUUCUACAACUUGAUUGAACUCUUUGGCCUGAUGCCAGGCGUCACGUCUGGAGGAAACCUGCCACUAUCCCUACGGUGAAGCGUGCUGUGGGGAUAGUUUUCAGCGGCAGGGACUGGGAGACCAGUCAUGAUUGAGGGGAAGAUGAACGGAGCAAAGUACAGAGAGAUCCUUGAUGAAAGCCUCCAGAACGCUCAGGACCUCAGACUGGUGCGAAGGUUCACCUUCCAACAGAACAACGACCCUACGCACACAGCCAAGACAACGCAGGAGUGACUUCAGAACAAGUCUCUCAAUGUCCUUGAGUGGCCCAGCCAGAGCCCGGACUUGAACCCAAUCGAACAUCUCUGGAGAGACCGAAAAAUAGCUGUGCAGUGACGCUCCCCAUCCAACCUGACAGAGCUUGAGAGGAUCUACCGUGAAGAAUCGGAGAAACUCCCCAAAUACAGAUGUGCCAAGCUUGUAGUGUCAUACCCAAGAAGACUCGAGGCUGUAAUCACUGUCAAAGGUGCUUCAACAAAGUACUGAGUAAAGGGUCUGAAUACUUAUGUAAAUGUGAUAUUUCACUUGUUGUUUUUUUAUACAUCAGCAAACAUUUCUAAAACCAUAUUUUUGCUUUGUCAUUAUCGGGUAUUGAGUCUGGAUUGAUGAGGGGGAAAAAACAAUUUAAUGCAUUUUAGAAUAAGGCUAUAAUGUAACCAAAUGUGGAAAAAGUCAAGGGUUCUGAAAACUUUCAGAAUGCACUGUAUAGGGAAUAGGGUGCCUUUGGGCCGAAACCUGGUCUGUUGAGGAUGAGAGGUGAAUAUCAGAGAUAUUCUCUCAGUUCUGGACAAAAUGGUGAUUUGUGAUCCCCAUUGCUGUCAUAGGGUAUGAUUGACUAGGAUAUAGAUUUAAACUAUAUUUCUCCAAACUUGAGUGGAAAAUGUGUUUAUUUUGUAACUCUAAAAGUGAUCCUGAUAAUCCCUUCAGAGAUCAUGUCUCCCUGAGCAUUCAAGAUGCGUUCAUCAUAUUUGAGUUUUGCUCAAGGUAAAGCAACAUCAAAACAAAAUGAACAGACACUCCUCAGGGGUUCCAUUUUCUAUCCAAGAGGUCCUUCAUCUGAGGGCCAUGGUUUAGGCUGGCAUGGUAUGGCACACACCUGACCCUGCGCUGCCCCUGUCCCCUGACCACGCCACCCAGGCUGACAAUAUGCUACGCUCCAGUGCCUCCGUCUCUACCCAGGUGCCUCUGCAACAUGCCCACCUCCCCCCAACCUGACCUGACCUAUCCAAACAUUGCCAAACCUGGGAUAUAGGGGGCCCCACGAUCAGAUGGUUGAUGGUUCCCCAGGUUCUGUUUUGGAGAUUGAUGGAAACCUUCCAGGUGACGUGCUGGGGAGUGGGGAAAGGCAGCAGGCUGAGGUACUGUAGGUUAGGUUGAUGUCAGAGGGAAGCUAUUAGCUAGACGUAUGGGGCUCAUCGUGACCCAUCUGUUAGGAUUAGAGGUCUGCUGUUCCCUGGGUGUCUAUACUGUACUGAAGGUCUCUGUCUGUCUGCUGCUACCUGGGUGUCUAUACUGUACUGAAGGUCACUGUCUGUCUGCUGCUACCUGGGUGUCUAUACUGUACUGAAGGUCACUGUCUGUCUGCUGCUACCUGGGUGUCUAUACUGUACUGAAGGUCACUGUCUGUCUGCUGCUACCUGGGUGUCUAUACUGUACUGAAGGUCACUGUGUCUGCUUCUACCUGGGUGUCUAUACUGUACUGAAGGUCUCUGUCUGUCUGCUGCUACCUGGGUGUCUAUACUGUACUGAAGGUCACUGUCUGUCUGCUGCUACCUGGGUAUCUAUACUGUACUGUAGGUCUCUGUCUGUCUGCUUCUACCUGGGUGUCUAUACUGUACUGAAGGUCACUGUCUGUCUGCUGCUACCUGGGUGUCUAUACUGUACUGAAGGUCACUGUCUGUCUGCUGCUACCUGGGUAUCUAUACUGUACUGUAGGUCUCUGUCUGUCUGCUGCUACCUGGGUGUCUAUACUGUACUGUAGUUCUCUGUCUGUCUGCUGCUACCUGGGUGUCUAUACUGUACUGUAGGUCUCUGUCUGCUGCUACCUGGCUAUCUAUACUGUACUGUAGGUCUCUGUCUGUCUGCUGCUACCUGGCUCUCUAUACUGUACUGAAGGUAACUGUCUGUCUGCUGCUACCUAAGUUUCCACUGUCUCUCUCUUUUAGCUUGUGCAUUAUUUAAAUUGAGCUUCAAUGGAUGGUGCAAAGGAACAAAUGGAAUAGUCCCAAAACUGUGAACCCCGCCCACCUGGCUGGCACAUCAGGCAGCCUCAAUCAAAUGCUCAAAGUAUUUGAAAGAAAAUACAUGCUAUUUGAACCCAGGUCUGGUGUGGAGGACUCCAUCAGAGCACAAGACAGGUUUGUUUAUAUAUGAGCUGAGUAGCUAGGCUCAGGUCAACAGAUGGCCUCUUUAGGUUAGUUCUGUCUGCUGUUACUGAGGCCUUGUCGGACAUAGUCUACGCUGGGAAGUCCCUUGACUGUAUCAUACACAGUACUGGCAUUUCAUUUGGUUUUGAGAUCAAAUGAUGGGUGAAUGAAUUUGGUCUCAAAUGUGAUGUUUCAUUUAAAACUGUAUGAAAUGAAAAGUUUAAUCUUCUUAAAAUGUUAGAUAGCCAUACAGAUAUAAAUCCUUGAUACAGAUGAACUGCCUAUUAUACAGUAUUCUAGAUUAUAAUGUGACUGUCACAUCCUGACCAGUAAAGAGGUUAUUUUGUUAUUAUAGUAUGGUCAGAGCGUGGCAGGGUGGUGUUUGUUUUGUGUGUUUUGGGAUUUUGGGUUUGAUCUAUGUUAUCUAUUUCUAUGUUUUCCUUUCUAGUUCUUCUAUUUCUACGUUGUGUAUGUUUGGGUUGAUCUCUAAUUGGAGGCAGCUGAUCCUCGUUGCCUCUGAUUAGAGAUCAUAUUUAAGUAGGGGUUUUUCUUCAUGGGUUUUGUGAGUAGUUGUUUCCUUGUAUAGUCAGUGCACCUUACGGGACUGGUUUACGUGUUUGUGUUUAAGUGUGGUUCUUUAAUAAAUACGAAGAUGAGCACUUUGUCCGCUGCAUUUUGGUCCGAUGAUUCUUCCUCCUCAGACAACGAAGAUUGUGACAGUGACUAAAUGUUGUUAUAAUAAACUGGAAUUAUAUCUC